GCUGACACGCUGUCCUCUGGCGACCUGUCGCUGGAGAGGUUGGGCCUCUGGAUGCGAGCGGGACUCUGGCCUCCCGGUGACCCGGCUAGCCGGCCCUGCUCCCGCUUGAGCCGCCUGCUGGGGCCCGUGAGCCUGCGGCCCUCUCGUGCGUCCGAGCGUCCCGACUCCCCCCGGUGCCGGCCCGGGUCCGGGUCUCUGACCCACCUGGGGGCGGCGGGGAAGGCGGCGAGGGCUACCCUGCCCCCGUGCGCUCUCCGCUGCGGGCACCCGGGGCGGCCGUGACAACCCCCCCCCCACCCCGUUGGCUCCGUGCCGUUGCGUGUCAGGCGUUCUCGUCUCCGCGGGGUUGUCCGCCGCCCCUCCCCCCAGAGCGGGGAACGGCCGGGCUGGUCGGCUCGGCUCGCUGGCUGGCCGGCUGGCCGGCUCCCGCUCCUGGGGGCUCUUCGUGAUCGAUGUGGUGGCGUCAUGCUCUCCCGGGCAGGGUCCGAGCCGCGGCGACGGGCGAGGGGCGGACAUUCGUGGCGAAUGGGACCGUUCUUCUCGCUCCGCCCGCGGGGGCCCCUCGUCUCUCCUCCCCGCCUGCGGGUGGUGCGCUGGGGAAGGCGAGGGGCGCGGAACCCGGCCCGACCUCGCUGUCCCGUCCCUGCCUUCCGCCUCGCGGGGCGGGUCGGCGGGGUCCUCUGACGCGGCGGGCACCCCUCGCUCUCGCCUCCUGUGGUUGUCGACUCGCGGGCGGCCCCCCUCCGCGGCGGUGGGGUGCUGUCCCGCCGGCCCGUCGUGCUGCCCUCUCGGGGUUCGCGCGAGCGUUGGCUCCGCCCGGGCCUUUGCGGUGCUCCUGGAGCGCUCCGGGUUGUCCCUCAGGUGCCCGAGGCCGAGCGGUGGUGUGUCUUUCCCGCCCCCGGCGCCCCCUCUUCCGGUCGCCGCCGCGGUGUCCGCGCGUGGCUCCUUGAGGGAGCUCGUUGGUGUCGGGGGGGUCGAGGCGGUGGAGUGAGACGCGCCCCUCCCACGCGGGGAAGGGCGCCGCGUGGUCCGGCGAGCGCACGUGUCCCGUGCUUCCCCCCCUGGCGGGUGCGCGCGGGGGCCGUGUGAGCGGUCGCGGUGGGCUCUCGGGCCGGUGACGCGUGCGCCGGCCGGCGGGCCGCCGAGGGGCUACCGUCCUGCCUCCGACCGGCCGUGUGUGGGUUGACUUCGGAGGUGCUUUGCCUCGGAAGGAAGGAGGCCGGUGGACGUGGGGGGGCCCCGGGGGGUCGCGCGCAUGCGCGCCGGCCGGGUCCCCCGCCCUGACCGCGAACGCUCGAGGUUGCCGCACGCGGGUGUGUUUCCUCUUACCGCGGGCCCCUCCCUCCCUCGCGUGGUCCCCGGGCGUCCCCGAGCGCCUCUGCGGACCCGACGAGGGGCGACUGGCGGGUGGGGAGAGUGACCCGCCCUCGGUGAGAAAGCCUUCUCUAGCGAUCCGAGAGGUUGUGCCUUGGGGUACCGGAUCCCCCGGCCCGCCGCCUCUCUCUGUGCGUUGAUGGUAGCGCUCGCCGUAGCGACCCGCUUGCGGCGGACCCUCCUCCGCUUCCCCCUCGACGGGGUGAGGGGGGGAGAGCGAGGGUUCCGCCGGCCCCCGACCGCGGUGGUGGGGGGCCGAGCGCGGCUCGUCGCCUACUGUGGCCCGCGCCUCCCCCUUCCGAGUCGGGGGAGGAUCCCGCCGGGCCGGGCCCGGCGUCCUUAGCGGUUCGGAGGCUGUGCCGCGAGCGGCGGGUGUGCGCGGCGUUCCGUCCGGCGCGUGUGACCCCUCUCCGCUGUCGAGCCGGCUGUCCGCCCGCUCCCGUGCCGAGUCGCGACCGGUGCCGGUGACCGCGUCUGCGCGGCAAGGGUUUGGGCCGCCUGGCCCCCGGAAAGCGUCCCACGGUGGGGGCGCGCCGGUCUCCCGGAGCGGGACCGGGUCGGAGGAUGGACGAGAAUCCCGGGCGACGCGGCCCUGGCGUCGGGUGUGUGGCUGUGGUCGCCUCGUGGGGUGGGGUUCCCGGUGGCCGGGGCCCCGGGUCUCGUGAGGAGGCGGGUCUCGGUGGGUGCCGAGGGCCGUCCGGCGUCCCAGGCGGUGCGCCGCGGGAACCGCCCUCGUGUCUGUGGCGGUGGGAUCCCGUGGCCGUGUUUUCCUGGUGGCCCGGCCGUGCCUGAGGUUUCUCCCCCGAGCCGCCCCUCCGCGGGCUCCCGGGGGCCCUCGCCCUCGCGGUCCCUGGCCCCCCUCGCCUCUCCGCGUUGGCGCCCCCUUCCCCGCCCGCCGCCUGCCGAGUCCCCUCUCCCCGAGCGGCUCACCGCCGGCUUUACCGUCGGUGGCGGCCCCGUCCGGGCCCGAACCCGGCACCGCCUCGUGGGGCGCCGCCGCCGGCCACCGGUUGGCCCGGUGUCCGCGUCCCCCGGCGCGUGCGCGCUUUCGGGGCCGGGUCGGUGGCGCGCCCCGGCUUGGGCCCGGUGGGCGCCCGGAGGGUUUUGGGGGUCGGCCCGCGGUGCGUGCGGGGGGAGGAGGGCGUUCCGGGGGGCUGGCCGCGACCGCGGCGGCGUUGGGGGGGGGGCCGCGGGGAUCCGCCGAGGGCCGGUCGUCCGCUCCGGGUGCCGCGCGCGGGGGGCCGCCUCCGUGCGUGUGCCCCCGGCCGCGGUCGGCUGCGCUCGACGGGUUCCCGCGGUGUCCCCCUCCCCCGCCGGCCGCCCUUCUCGCGCCUUCCCCGUCGCCUCGGCCUCGCCCCGGCGUUUCUCGUCUUCUCCCGUCCCGCUGUUCCGCCUCGGGUCGGUCGGCGCGGCCCCGGGUGCGCCUCGCUUCCCGGGCACGCCGCGGCCCUUCCCUGAGAGGCGUCUGUCCCGGGCGUCGGCGUCCGGGGAGAGCCCCUCCUCCUCCUCCCCCGCGUGGCGUUGCCCCGUUCGGCGCGCGCGUGCGCCCGAGCGCGGCCCGGUGGUCCCUCCCGGCCAGGCGUUCGUGCGAUGGGUGGCGCGAGGGUCGACCUCCGCCUCUGCCGGCCGCUCGCCCCCCUUUCCCCCGGGUCGGGGGGUGGGGCCCGGACCGGGGCCUCGGCCCCGGUCGCGGUCCCUCGUCCCGGGCGUUGGGGGGCGGGCGCGCCGGCCGGCUUCGGUCGGCCCUCCCUCCCUCGGCCGUCGCGUGGCGUGUGCCACCCCUGCCCCCGCGCCCGCCGGGGGGCGGGGCUCGGGGCCGGGCUUCGGCCGGGCCCCGGGCCUCGACCCGGACCGGUGCGCGGGUGCUGCGGCCGCACGGCGCGACUGUCCCCGGGCUGGGGCACCGCGGUCCGCCUCUCGCUCGCCGCCCGGACGUCGGGGCCGCCCCGCUGGGCGGGUGGGGAGCGCCGUCCCCGCCUCGCCGCCGCCCCGCCGCGCCCGCCGCGCGCGCGCGCGUCGGCCGCCGGUCCCUCGCGGCUGCCGGUCACACGGGCCGGGCGGUCCGCCUCCUCCUCGCACGCGGGCGCGUGAAGGGGGGUGGUGUGUGUGUCGGGUGGGUGUGUGCGGGUGGGGCGUCCGGUUCGCCGCGCCCCCACGCCCGCCCGCCCGGCCGCGCGCCGCCCUACCUCGCUCGCUCGCUCGCUCGCUCCCUCCCUCCCUCCCGGGCGCCGGGCCCGUCCUCGCGAGGCCCCCCGGCGUGGCGUCGUCGUCGGGGCCUCGCCGCGCUCCACC
rnacentral:misc_RNA from 1 species